rnacentral:rRNA from 1 species
GACGAACGCUGGCGGCGUGCUUAACACAUGCAAGUCGAACGGAAAGGCCCUGCUUUUGUGGGGUGCUCGAGUGGCGAACGGGUGAGUAACACGUGAGUAACCUGCCCUUGACUUUGGUAUAACUUCAGGAAACUGGGGCUAAUACCGUAUAGGAGCUCCUGCUGCAUGGUGGGGGUUGGAAAUUUUCGGCGGUUGGGGAUGGACUCGCGGCUUAUCAGCUUGUUGGUGGGGUAGUGGCUUACCAAGGCUUUGACGGGUAGCCGGCCUGAGAGGGUGACCGGCCACAUUGGGACUGAGAGACGGCCCAGACUCCUACGGGAGGCAGCAGUGGGGAAUAUUGCACAAUGGGCGGAAGCCUGAUGCAGAAACGCCGCGUGCGGGAUGACGGCCUUCGGGUUGUAAACCGCUUUAGCCUGUGACGAAGCGUGAGUGACGGUAAUGGGUAAAGAAGCACCGGCUAACUACGUG